CCUACGGGCGGCUGCAGUGGGGAAUAUUGGACAGUGGGGGCAACCCUGAUCCAGCCAUGCCGCGUGUGUGAAGAAGGCCCUCGGGUUGUAAAGCACUUUCAGUGAGGAAGAACGCCUGGUGGUUAAUACCCAUCAGGAAAGACAUCACUCACAGAAGAAGCACCGGCUAACUCCGUGCCAGCAGCCGCGGUAAUACGGAGGGUGCGAGCGUUAAUCGGAAUUACUGGGCGUAAAGCGCGCGUAGGUGGCUUGAUAAGCCGGUUGUGAAAGCCCCGGGCUCAACCUGGGAACGGCAUCCGGAACUGUCAAGCUAGAGUGCAGGAGAGGAAGGUAGAAUUCCCGGUGUAGCGGUGAAAUGCGUAGAGAUCGGGAGGAAUACCAGUGGCGAAGGCGGCCUUCUGGACUGACACUGACACUGAGGUGCGAAAGCGUGGGUAGCAAACAGGAUUAGAUACCCGAGUAGUC
rnacentral:rRNA from 1 species